UGGGGAAUAUUGGACAAUGGGCGAAAGCCUGAUCCAGCCAUGCCGCGUGUGUGAAGAAGGUCUUCGGAUUGUAAAGCACUUUAAGUUGGGAGGAAGGGCAUUAACCUAAUACGUUAGUGUUUUGACGUUACCGACAGAAUAAGCACCGGCUAACUCUGUGCCAGCAGCCGCGGUAAUACAGAGGGUGCAAGCGUUAAUCGGAAUUACUGGGCGUAAAGCGCGCGUAGUUGGUUUGUUAAGUUGGAUGGGAAAUCCCCGGGCUCAACCUGGGAACUGCAUUCAAAACUGACUGACUAGAGUAUGGUAGAGGGUGGUGGAAUUUCCUGUGUAGCGGUGAAAUGCGUAGAUAUAGGAAGGAACACCAGUGGCGAAGGCGACCACCUGGACUAAUACUGACACUGAGGUGCGAAAGCGUGGGGAGCAAACA
rnacentral:rRNA from 1 species